rnacentral:ncRNA from 1 species
AGGAUAGAGGUGCGGCUUUUAUCAGUAAUGUGCAGGAGGUUGCCGAAACCGUUGAAACGCAUGAAAGGAAAAGCUGCCGAAGGCUCCGGCCGGCCCCCGGAACCUGAUCGUAUUUGGUGAAGAACCGUACGAUUGUCAUCAUUUUUUUAUGAUGGAGCGCUAUCG